rnacentral:rRNA from 1 species
AGCAGCCGCGGUAAUUCCAGCUCCAAUAGCGUAUAUUAAAGUUGUUGCAGUUAAAAAGCUCGUAGUUGAAUUUCGAGAUCAGUACGCUGGUCGUGCCUUCGGUAUGCACUGGUGUCACUGGUUUCUCCCUUCUGAAGAACCGUCAUGCCAUUCAGUUGGUGUGGCGGGGAAUCAGGACUGUUACUUUGAAAAAAUUAGAGUGUUUAAAGCAGGCUCGCGCUUGAAUACAUUAGCAUGGAAUAAUGAAAUAGGACGUUUGACCCUAUUUUGUUGGUUUCUAGGAUCGACGUAAUGAUUAAUAGGGAUAGUUGGGGGCAUUAGUAUUCAAUUGUCAGAGGUGAAAUUCUUGGAUUUAUUGAAGACUAACUACUGCGAAAGCAUUUGCCAAGGAUGUUUUCAUUAAUCAAGAACGAAAGUUAGGGGAUCGAAGACGAUCAGAUACCGUCGUAGUCUUAACCAUAAACUAUGCCGACUAGGGAUCGGAUGAUGUUAAUUUUUAAUGACUCU